AUGAGAGUCAGACCCUCAGGGGACCCGGCAGGUCAGUGUCCCAGAACCAAACAUGGAAAUGUUCCCCUGGCCCUCAGUGGGAUCCAGGCCCCUGUAGGUGAGUCUCUUCUCCCCAGAGUGAAAGAGGAAGGUGUCUAUGAGCCUCAGAGGUCUCCCUGGGGUUUUUGUAAAGGCCUCCACUGCAGUGCUGAUACUGGUAGCUCUGGCUACGGAAAGCUGACAUUUGGACAAGGGACCAUCUUGACCGUCCAUCCAACUAUUCAGAACCCUGACCCUGCCGUGUACCAGCUGAAAAGCCCUGAAUCCAGUAACAUCUCUGUCUGCCUGUUCACUGAUUUUGAUUCGGAAGUCAAUAUGAAACCAUCCACAGAGUCCAACAUGAUUAGAUUGAAAAGUACUUCACUGGACAUGAAGACUAUGGAUUCCAAGAGCAACGGGGCCCUGGCCUGGAGCAACAGCUUUGAUUUGGGAUGCAACAGUACCUUCAACUACACCUUCCACUCCAGCUCAGAAUUUCCCUGUGAUGCCAAUGUGGUAGAGAAAGGCUUUGAAACAGAUAUGAACCUAAAUUUCUACAACCUGCUAGUGAUCGUGCUCCGCAUCACCUUCCUGAAGGUGGUUGGCUUUAACCUGCUCAUGACGCUGCGGCUGUGGUCCAGCUGAGGUCGCCAAGAAUGUGAGAGCCCAGCGCUCCCCUGCUCCUCCCACACCUUCUCCCCCUCUUCAAGAAGAGAGGCACACUCUCUGCCCCCAUGGAGAAGAAGUUUCCCUCCACCUCUCUGGUCCCACUGGCAACGCCACUGACCGGACCCUAGCAGAUAUUUGUGAUCAAGAUGCUGAAGAGUUGCCAAACACCGCUGCCACCAGUCUGUCCCCUCAUCGCUGCUUGUCACUGCCUGACACUCCCGGCAAAGGAGCUGCUGCUGUGGCCUCACCUGGCUGGGGAGAAACUCCCCGACCUUCCCCUGAGAUGUCCCCUGGAUGAGGGAUCCCCAGUGGGUCCUCUCAGGCUCUAGCUCCUGGAGAAUGUUGUGAGGAGUUUAUAUAUUUUAAAUUACGUUCAUAAAGGAAUAACACAUCACACUUGUCCCCAAGAUGUGAGGAAAAUUAUUAUCUAGGCCCUGCUGUGCUGUGUAUCUGAGCCACAUUGUAUAUUCUGCUACCCAUGACUUCAUUAAAGGCAAUUGAAAGAGCA